rnacentral:rRNA from 1 species
GAUGAACGCUGGCGGCGUGCCUAAUACAUGCAAGUCGAGCGAACAGACGAGGAGCUUGCUCCUCUGACGUUAGCGGCGGACGGGUGAGUAACACGUGGAUAACCUACCUAUAAGACUGGGAUAACUUCGGGAAACCGGAGCUAAUACCGGAUAAUAUACUGAACCGCAUGGUUCAAUAGUGAAAGACGGUUUUGCUGUCACUUAUAGAUGGAUCCGCGCCGCAUUAGCUAGUUGGUAAGGUAACGGCUUACCAAGGCAACGAUGCGUAGCCGACCGGAGAGGGUGAUCGGCCACACUGGAACUGAGACACGGUCCAGACUCCUACGGGAGGCAGCAGUAGGGAAUCUUCCGCAAUGGGCGAAAGCCUGACGGAGCAACGCCGCGUGAGUGAUGAAGGUCUUCGGAUCGUAAAACUCUGUUAUUAGGGAAGAACAAAUGUGUAAGUAACUAUGCACGUCUUGACGGUACCUAAUCAGAAAGCCACGGCUAACUACGUG